rnacentral:tRNA from 2 species
CGGUGUGUGGCUCAGUUUGGUAGAGUAUUCCGUUUGGGGCGGAAGGGUCGUAGGUUCGAAUCCUACCACACCGACCA